UUGACCCCACUGGUGACUUUUCCUUUUGUGGUCUGAUCAGCCGCAAUGAAAAGCCAUUGGAUGGUGAAUUUAAGGUCAUUUGGGAUACUGACUUUAAGGAAAUUUGGAGAACUGAUAAUUAUGAUGAAGUUAAAGUUCUUAGACACAAUUGAUAAUUUGAACCAAUGAGAAGACAAAAUGACGAAAAGGGUACAAUAAUUUUUCUUUGGGGAGUAGUUCAGAUUAGACAUUUUGAUCUGAUUAUGUUACUUGAAUAUCGUUUGAUAAGUAGGGGUACUUUUUACAUUAUCUAGAUAAGUUUAUUUUCCCUUAGGAAGUCAGCUGUGGUUGUAUUUAGUGGACGAGAUUUAACACAAGACUGGAAUUAAUAUAAUAGUAAAAAUAUAUUUUGUUAAAUAAGUUUUAAAUGGUAGACUUAUGUCAAGCUUUAGAAUAUAUUCUAAGCCAACAGGACAGGAAUAUAUGACAUCUGUAGGGAAUCCAGGAUCAUUGAGGGUAUCGAGAUAAAUGUAAGUAGCUAUGUAAUAAGAUAAUGAGACAUUUAAUACUCCCCUGCACUGCUGAGACCUUGAUGGGUUGGAAGUAGGAGGAGGAGAGCAUAAGCAAGGAAGAGAAGAUAAAAGUGAAACAGAAGAAUUAGAUAACGGGUAGUGAGUGACGACCAGCAUAGUUAAAUUAUAAACAGGUGAGGACAGAAAUAACACUGGGAGAGACAGAAAAGACAUAGGAAUAAAAGAUAGGAAGAUAAUUUAGUUUGGUUCAUUUAGCUUUAGGAUAUUAGUUCAUGAAGAGACUAUCGGCUCCAUGAGCAUGUAUUUUAGUUUUGAUUUUAAGUUAUGUUUGGUAAAAUUCGCUAGGAAAAGAUAUGAUAAUUUACUUGAAAGUAGUUGUUAAAUCUUAAAGAAGAUAAGACACUUGAUAGAGAAAUGCACAGGGUAGCUAAGGAGGAAUGCCCCAGGGAGAAUUGGACAUGUGGAAAGUAAAAGGGGGCAAUCCUACAAGAGAAGGGCUGACAUAAGGAUAAUUUACUAACCUUACCAAAGACAUUGUUAAGAAAUGCAGCAAAAUUGAUACAUGGCUUGAGCCAUGUAUAAAAAGGGGGAGUAUAGUAGAGCAGGCGAUAGAACAGGAUAGGAUGCUACUAGAA